rnacentral:rRNA from 1 species
UGGCGGCGUGCUAUACAUGCAAGUCGAGCGCGGGAAGCAAGCUGAUCCUCUUCGGAGGUGACGCUUGUGGAACGAGCGGCGGACGGGUGAGUAACACGUGGGCAACCUGCCUGUAAGACUGGGAUAACCCCGGGAAACCGGGGCUAAUACCGGAUAAUACUUUUCAUCACCUGAUGNNAAGUUGAAAGGUGGCUUUUAGCUACCACUUACAGAUGGGCCCGCGGCGCAUUAGCUAGUUGGUGAGGUAACGGCUCACCAAGGCAACGAUGCGUAGCCGACCUGAGAGGGUGAUCGGCCACACUGGGACUGAGACACGGCCCAGACUCCUACGGGAGGCAGCAGUAGGGAAUCUUCCGCAAUGGACGAAAGUCUGACGGAGCAACGCCGCGUGAGUGAUGAAGGUUUUCGGAUCGUAAAGCUCUGUUGUUAGGGAAGAACAAGUGCCGUUCGAAUAGGGCGGCACCUUGACGGUACCUAACCAGAAAGCCCCGGCUAACUACGUGCCAGCAGCCGCGGUAAUACGUAGGGGGCAAGCGUUGUCCGGAAUUAUUGGGCGUAAAGCGCGCGCAGGCGGUCCUUUAAGUCUGAUGUGAAAGCCCACGGCUCAACCGUGGAGGGUCAUUGGAAACUGGAGGACUUGAGUACAGAAGAGGAGAGUGGAAUUCCACGUGUAGCGGUGAAAUGCGUAGAGAUGUGGAGGAACACCAGUGGCGAAGGCGACUCUCUGGUCUGUAACUGACGCUGAGGCGCGAAAGCGUGGGGAGCGAACAGGAUUAGAUACCCUGGUAGUCCACGCCGUAAACGAUGAGUGCUAGGUGUUAGGGGGUUUCCGCCCCUUAGUGCUGAAGUUAACGCAUUAAGCACUCCGCCUGGGGAGUACGGCCGCAAGGCUGAAACUCAAAAGAAUUGACGGGGGCCCGCACAAGCGGUGGGAGCAUGUGGUUUAAUUCGACGCAACGCGAAGAACCUUACCAGGUCUUGACAUCCUCUGCAAUCGGUAGAGAUACCGAGUUCCCUUCGGGGACAGAGUGACAGGUGGUGCAUGGUUGUCGUCAGCUCGUGUCGUGAGAAUGUUGGGUUAAGUCCCGCAACGAGCGCAACCCUUGAUCUUAGUUGCCAGCAUUUAGUUGGGCACUCUAAGNGUGACUGCCGGUGACAAACCGGAGGAAGGUGGGGAUGACGUCAAAUCAUCAUGCCCCUUAUGACCUGGGCUACACACGUGCUACAAUGGAUGGAACAAAGGGAAGCAAAACCGCGAGGUCAAGCAAAUCCCAUAAAACCAUUCUCAGUUCGGAUUGCAGGCUGCAACUCGCCUGCAUGAAGCCGGAAUCGCUAGUAAUCGCGGAUCAGCAUGCCGCGGUGAAUACGUUCCCGGGCCUUGUACACACCGCCCGUCACACCACGAGAGUUGGUAACACCCGAAGUCGGUGAGGUAACCUUUGGAGCCAGCCGCCGAA